AUACGGAGGAUCCGAGCGUUAUCCGGAUUUAUUGGGGUUAAAGGGUGCGCAGGCGGCCAUUUAAGUCAGCGGUUAAAUCGUGGGGCUCAACCCCAUUCUGCCGUUGAUACUGGGUGGCUUGAUUGCGGUCGAGGUUGGCGGAAUUCGUUGUGUAGCGGUGAAAUGCAUAGAUAUGACGAAGAACACCGAUUGCGUAGGCAGCUGACCAGACCGCAAAUGACGCUCAUGCACGAAAGUGCGGGGAUCGAACAGGAUUAGAUACCCUGGUAGUCCGCACAGUAAACGAUGAAUACUUGUUUUCGGCGAUAUAAUGUCGGAGGCAAAGCGAAAGCGAUAAGUAUUCCACCUGGGGAGUACGCCGGCAACGGUGAAACUCAAAGGAAUUGACGGGG
rnacentral:rRNA from 1 species